rnacentral:rRNA from 1 species
AUCUAUGGUCAUACCACCUGCACAUGCCCGAUCUCGUCUGAUCUCGGAGGUAAGCAGGGUCAGGGCUGUUAGUUAGCACUUGGAUA